GUGUCCUUGGUGUAACGGUAACACUCAAUCUACUCUCGGAUUGGUCCGGGGUUCGACUCCCCGAGGACGCC